GUUGGCUUCGGCGGCACAUGUACUAAAAUUGGAAGGACACAGAGAAGACUAGCACGGCCCCUGCACAAGGAUGACGCCCAAAUUCUCGA
ensembl:snRNA U6 U6 spliceosomal RNA